CGUAUAAAAAGGGCGCAUUUUUGUUGUGAUACCAUGCAACAUCCACGAGUCGUUGACUCGUGCUCUUUGAUAGUUCUACAGAUUCUGCUCCCUGGAUAAGUGAAGGGCUGCCUGUAAAGUGAUCAUCAUGACGACACGUAGACCCAAUCAGAGCUUGAAGGCAAUGAUAUUUAUAGCGAUCCUGUGCUUCUCUUCUGAACUCGAGCUGUCUUCCAGUCAAUGGGCAAGAAGCUUAGAAGAGCAUAGCAAGAAAUCUACCGAUAAUUUCAGCAUAGCGCCUGGAAGAUCGUCCGGACCACACGAUUGUUUCAUUUUCAAGUUUAAAGGUGAUACCACGAUAUGAAACGAAGUGCACUUCAUGCUCAUCAAAAGCAGCAUGAUCAGUCAUGCUAUCUACGUUCUCAUGGGAAAACAUGGUGUGAAAGUAUUUAUUGAAAGGUUCAGCGAUUUCAUUCGUGUUUGUGAUAGUAGUUUCGUCGAUCACUAUCUCAUUGACUGGCCUUGUACUGUCACUAAAAAAGCCCCAACUUUUCUUUUUCUUUUUUAUGCACUUUUCAUAAAGCUAGGCAAUACCGUUAUGAAGUAGAAAUCGUUCGAGCUUUUAACUGCGGAUGCCAACUUGUUCUGUAUGAUACUUAUUACCUGUGGCUGAGCGCGCUUCUUUUCAUUUCGUUUUAUUUUGCGUUUUAGUUGUAAGAUGUUACGCGUUAUCCACGGUGUUUGUUUGCUCACUUUCUU